GCCAUUGGUAAUAGAAAAGUGACUAUGUUUGUGUGUUUACAGAUGCAUGAGAUGCAGAGACCUGACACAACACAUCCACAUUGAGAUGGACUGGAGAUGCUUCUUCCAGACGGCAGCCGUAGUCAUUUGAUGGGGAGACCAUAAUUGGAAACAUGUAUGGAGCCAGCACAUGGAGACUUGCAAGAUG